CAGUCGCCACGGUAAAACAGAGGGUGCGAGCGUUAAUCGGAUUUACUGGGCGUAAAGCGUGCGUAGGCGGCUAAUUGAGUCGGAUGUGAAAUCCCCGAGCUUAACUUGGGAAUUGCAUUCGAUACUGGUUAGCUAGAGUGUGGGAGAGGAUGGUAGAAUUCCAGGUGUAGCGGUGAAAUGCGUAGAGAUCUGGAGGAAUACCGAUGGCGAAGGCAGCCAUCUGGCCUAACACUGACGCUGAGGUACGAAAGCAUGGGGAGCAAACAGGAUUAGAUACCCGGGUAGUCCCUGUCUCUUAUAC
rnacentral:rRNA from 1 species